UAAACAACGUAAGCCCUACCUCUCAAACGUCCCCCACGGCUCCGAAGCCGCUCCGGUGUGAAUAGAAUAACUUACAA
rnacentral:sRNA from 1 species